GACGUAGGGCGCGAGCGUUGUCCGGAUUUAUUGGGCGUAAAGAGCUCGUAGGCGGCUUGUUGCGUCGACCGUGAAAACCCGGGGCUCAACUUCGGGCUUGCGGUCGAUACGGGCGGGCUAGAGUUCGGUAGGGGAGACUGGAAUUCCUGGUGUAGCGGUGAAAUGCGCAGAUAUCAGGAGGAACACCGGUGGCGAAGGCGGGGCUCUGGGCCGAUACUGACGCUGAGGAGCGAAAGCGUGGGGAGCGAACAGG
rnacentral:rRNA from 1 species